CUCCACUGCAGACAGUAGGGGGCAGCAGAGCGCUGCCUGCUGCCGGUUGGGGACUGUUUUGAUGACGUAGCUGUCGUCGUCUUGCCGUUCCGGCAAGAUCGUCGAGAUCCUCCUGUUUUACAGGUUUAUUACCUUUCCACGUGCCCUGUGCCUGGGGCUUGUAAGGCAUAUAAGCUGGCUUGCCAACCGGCAAUAAAAGAAUAGCAGAAACAACAGCAAAAAGCUUUCGCCGUGGAAGAUACCGUCGCUAAGGAGAAGGAAUUGAGGAGGACUCUUCAACCGAUGAGGCUCAUCUUGGAAGACGGGGAAAUCCAGAGACCUGGAACGUGAAGGUCCAGAAAAGUAUGUCCAUGCCAGUCUGCAACCUGCUAAAGGUUCACUAAACUCUACUGCAGAAAAGCAGAAGACACAUCAUAAGAACAAGAUUUCUAAGUAUUUCUGGGGGAAUUUGGACUGGAGAAAUGAUUGUGAAGUCUGUGGUGGAGGGGAGCACUGUAAAGCGGCGGCGGACAGGAGCAGAUGAA